ACUAUAAUAAAAGCAAGAUAUACUCAAAUUUUAGCUAUGCCACAUCAGCAUGGAAAUUCAAACCAAUCAAAAUGUAACUAGAUGCCAUGUCAUUUAAGCAAAACAAAUCUUACCUAACGAAGAAGUCUUCUCAGUUUUUUUUGCUCUAUUGAUUUACAAUCUCUUUCCUCAUUGCCUGCGACGGAAACUUACUUUGCUUUUUCUUUUUUUUUGGUCAUUACAGCGUCUUCUCUCCUUCUCUGCCAUUCACACCGAUUGGAGCUAUAGUUCGUUCGAUCAUCCCGCGUGGGUUUUCCUCUAUCUGUUUCCCGCGCUAGAUCUAUGGCCGUUUUAGUCAAAAAAUUUGCUCGCAGAGACGAAAGCGAACAAUCUGGGUCGGUCGAGCAAGAAGCUUCCAUCAAUGGGUCUCCAGAGAUCCAGAGAUCCGGUACGAGAUGGUAACCGGUCGUGGGAUUGAAGCCAUCGUUAAUACUCUGAGCAAAUGGGUUGUGUCUAUUCUGUUUGCUUCCAUCAUUCUUCUGCGGCGUGAUGGUACUGCCUUGUGGGGAAUCAUUGGAUCCGUUUCGAAUUCGGCUCUUUCAGUGGUGCUGAAGCGUAUACUUAACCAAGCAAGGCCUGCUACAACCUCGCGUACUGAUCCCGAGAUGCCAUCUACUCACGCCCAGUCUAUCUCUUUCAUAUAUGUGUUUGAUGUUUUGUCUGGUAAGCAAUUAAAAAGAACUUGGAACUAGGGAAGCCAAUUGUGGAGAAGAUCUACCGCUCUCUCUUUUUUUUUUAACUGUGACUUGGGAAUUAUCUUUUCUUAUUGAUUUUUUUCUCCAAAACAACACUUAUGAGGCGUGAGAGUGCCAGUGUUGUCAUCGUAGUAGUAAAGUACGUUGAUCCAGCUUGGUUAAGUGGCAUGACUUAUUAACCUUCUUCUUCCAUUAUUGUUAGAGUUCUCAAGUAUUUUCCCUGUUAAACCCUCUGUCCCCAUGUUAUCUACUUAAUGACAAUUUAGUUGCUCAUUUUUUCAAUUAGACAUUUUUUUUGUGUGGUA